rnacentral:rRNA from 1 species
CCUACGGGAGGCAGCAGUGAGGAAUAUUGGUCAAUGGUCGGGAGACUGAACCAGCCAAGCCGCGUGAGGGAUGAAGGUACAGAGUAUCGUAAACCUCUUUUGUCAGGGAACAAAGGCGGGGACGCGUCCCCGGAUGAGUGUACCUGAAGAAAAAGCAUCGGCUAACUCCGUGCCAGCAGCCGCGGUAAUACGGAGGAUGCGAGCGUUAUCCGGAUUUAUGGGGUUUAAAGGGUGCGCAGGCGGUCUGUUAUGUCAGCGGUAAAAGCCCGGGGCGCAACCCCGGCCCGCCGUUGAAACUGGCAGUCUCGAGUUGGAGAGAAGUAUGCGGAAUGCGCGGUGUAGCGGUGAAAUGCAUAGAUAUCGCGCAGAACUCCGAUUGCGAAGGCAGCCUGCCGGGGUGCGACUGACGCUGAGGCUCGAAGGUGCGGGUAUCAAACAGGAUUAGAUACCCUGGUAGUC